UACAGAGGUCUCAACCGUUGUUCGGAUUCAUUGGGCGUAAAGGGCGCGUAGGUGGCCCGGUCAGUUCGUGGUGAAAGCGCGGGGCUCAACCCUGCGUCGGCCAUGAAUACUGCCGCGGCUGGAGCACUGUAGAGGCAGGCGGAAUUCCGGGUGUAGCGGUGGAAUGCGUAGAGAUCCGGAAGAACACCGGUGGCGAAGGCGGCCUGCUGGGCAGUUGCUGACACUGAGGCGCGACAGCGUGGGGAGCAAACAGG
rnacentral:rRNA from 1 species